rnacentral:rRNA from 1 species
AACGCGUAUGCAACCUACCUUGUACAGGGGGAUAGCCCAGAGAAAUCUGGAUUAAUACCGCAUAAUAUGAAUGAUUCGCAUGGAUUAUUUAUUAAAUUUUCGGAGGUACAAGAUGGGCAUGCGUAGCAUUAGUUAGUUGGUAAGGUAACGGCUUACCAAGACGAUGAUGCUUAGGGGGUCUGAGAGGAUAGUCCCCCACACUGGUACUGAGACACGGACCAGACUCCUACGGGAGGCAGCAGUGAGGAAUAUUGGUCAAUGGACGCAAGUCUGAACCAGCCAUGUCGCGUGCAGGAUGACGGCCCUAUGGGUUGUAAACUGCUUUUCUACAGGAAUAAACUUUGCUACGUGUAGCGAACUGAAGGUACUGUAUGAAUAAGGAUCGGCUAACUCCGUGCCAGCAGCCGCGGUAAUACGGAGGAUUCGAGCGUUAUCCGGAUUUAUUGGGUUUAAAGGGUCCGUAGGCGGGCCGGUAAGUCAGUGGUGAAAUCCCAGAGCUCAACUCUGGAACUGCCAUUGAUACUGUCGGUCUUGAAUUUAGUUGAGGUGGGCGGAAUACGUUAUGUAGCGGUGAAAUGCAUAGAUUAU